GGCUAAAUUCCUGAGAUCACAGCCUUCAAAUUCUUGAAUGUUGUUAAUAAAUUCCAGCAUCUUGGUAGACAAAAAUGUCCUUUGUGAUCAAGAAUACACCCAUAAGACACAAACUAAGAGCCCAAGCUGUAAGUACUUGGUAUCCACACACUUUAAAUGUUCAUAUUGGCAGCUGGUGCAAACUCAAUAAAUUUUAUGGACCAGCCAGGCACUCCUGAGCUAGGUCGCUUAAUCUUCCAUUUAAAAUAGUUCCCUAGUAUGAAAACUGGCAAAAGACCAUGGAAAUUAGCUCCAUGCCUGUUGAUUCAGUAUGAAAUUGGCUUGCCAAUUGAAAUCCUGUUUUUCUUUUUCUCUUUGUUUGAUCUGAUGCCAAGUUGUUCCAUCCUUUAGUUACAAACCUUUUGUAACAGCAGCACUGUUCUGUGCCACACUUGGUGACAGGGCAGAAGGACUACUCCCCAUCUAGGCAGGAGUGAAAGUAAC